GGCGGGAGGCGACGGGAGCGGGGCCCGCCCCCAUCCCCGCCACCCCCCGGUGCUGUCCCCCCCCCCUCCGCCGCCGCCACCAGCGGGGGCCGGGGCUCGGCGGCCGCGGAUGUGCGGGAGGGAGGCGCGGCUGAGCGCCGCGGCGUGAGGCAGCGCCGCGCCCCCGCUGCCGGAGGAGCCGCUCCGCCGCCGUGAUGUCCUGAGAGGGGCCGAGCCCCCCCCCCUUCAUCCCCCAAUUUCCCCCCUUCCCCACCCCGCACGGCGUCCAGCAUCUUCUGCAGCUGAGGCUCUAACGUACUGGAGGACACUGCAUCUUCCUCAGGGACAAGGGUGAGCUGGACCCUCUGGGAACCUUAGAAAGGAAUUGUGGUUGGUGGUCACCUGGGGAACUUACUGCACACCAAUGUUGCUCUGAAACGAGUUGAGUCCAACAUUCACGUUUAGUAAGGAGCACUGAAAGUUUCCCCUGCAAUGGUCUUAAAGAUGGCAAAACAACAACAAGAAAGUGUUCCUCAUUAGGAAGGCUUGCAGGCACCUCUCCUUGGCUCGGGAGCAAGGGAAAGAGGGGUAGGCAGCCCUGCACUCUGCUCGCUUUCUGUCUGGGAGGAAUUUCUCGUUGUUAAUGAUUAAUUCAAACGUUUCUUGUCAUGAGUACAG
rnacentral:lncRNA from 1 species